rnacentral:rRNA from 1 species
GAUGAACGCUGGCGGCGUGCCUAAUACAUGCAAGUCGAGCGAACGGACGAGAAGCUUGCUUCUCUGAUGUUAGCGGCGGACGGGUGAGUAACACGUGGAUAACCUACCUAUAAGACUGGGAUAACUUCGGGAAACCGGAGCUAAUACCGGAUAAUAUUUUGAACCGCAUGGUUCAAAAGUGAAAGACGGUCUUGCUGUCACUUAUAGAUGGAUCCGCGCUGCAUUAGCUAGUUGGUAAGGUAACGGCUUACCAAGGCAACGAUGCAUAGCCGACCUGAGAGGGUGAUCGGCCACACUGGAACUGAGGCACGGUCCAGACUCCUACGGGAGGCAACAGUAGGGAAUCUUCCGCAAUGGGCGAAAGCCUGACGGAGCAACGCCGCGUGAGUGAUGAAGGUCUUCGGAUCGUAAAACUCUGUUAUUAGGGAAGAACAUAUGUGUAAGUAACUGUGCACAUCUUGACGGUACCUAAUCAGAAAGCCACGGCUAACUACGUG